UUUCUUUAGAUAAUGAAGUAGCUGAAAGCAGUUCAGGUGACUUACUGGUUGCAGGUCCACCCUUUGAUGACUCACACGGGAGGAAAUCAGUUGCUGCUUCGGUCUUCGACA